rnacentral:ncRNA from 2 species
UUGAAUGAUAGAGGUUGCAACCAACAUGAGUAUCUCCGCGAGUUCCUGUAUGAACGCCGACCGGGGAGAAAGGGGCGGUUGCCGAAGCGCUAGGUCAUACAGGGCCUAGUGAGCUGGGACGGGUCACCAAGAGGAUCCGAACUGUCGUAGCAAAAAAUAGUCGGCUACGGGGCGCUUACGACGAU